rnacentral:rRNA from 1 species
UACGAAGGGGGCUAGCGUUGCUCGGAAUUACUGGGCGUAAAGCGUGCGCAGGCGGUUUUGUAAGCCAGGUGUGAAAUCCCCGGGCUCAACCUGGGAAUGGCAUUUGGGACUGCAAGGCUGGAGUGCGGCAGAGGAGACUGGAAUUCCUGGUGUAGCAGUGGAAUGCGCAGAUAUCAGGAGGAACACCGGUGGCGAAGGCGGGUCUCUGGGCAGUAACUGACGCUGAGGAGCGAAAGCGUGGGGAGCGAACAGG